rnacentral:rRNA from 1 species
UAUACGACCGUACCGCAAACCGACACUGGUGCGCGAGAUGAGUAUUCUAAGGCGCUUGAGAGAACUCAGGAGAAGGAACUCGGCAAAUUGACACCGUAACUUCGGAAGAAGGUGUGCCCUAUUAGUGUGUAGUGAACAACGAAGCAUGAAUGGGUUGCAAAAAAUCGGUGGCUGCGACUGUUUAUUAAAAACACAGCACUCUGCAAACACGAAAGUGGACGUAUAGGGUGUGACGCCUGCCCGGUGCUGGAAGAUUAAAUGAUGGGGUGCAAGCUCUUGAUUGAAGUCCCAGUAAACGGCGGCCGUAACGAUAACGGUCCUAAGGUAGCGAAAUUCCUUGUCGGGUAAGUUCCGACCUGCACGAAUGGCGUAACGAUGGCCACACUGUCUCCUCCUGAGACUCAGCGAAGUUGAAAUGUUUGUGAUGAUGCAAUCUCCCCGCGGAAAGACGGAAAGACCCCAUGAACCUUUACUGUAGCUUUGUAUUGGACUUUGAACAGAUCUGUGUAGGAUAGGUAGGAGGCUUUGAAGCAGGGUCGCUAGAUCUUGUGGAGCCAACGUUGAAAUACCACCCUGGUGUGUUUGAGGUUCUAACCUAGGUCCAUUAUCUGGAUCGGGGACAGUGCAUGGUAGGCAGUUUGACUGGGGCGGUCUCCUCCCAAAGCGUAACGGAGGAGUUCGAAGGUACGCUAGUUACGGUCGGACAUCGUGACGAUAGUGCAAUGGCAUAAGCGUGCUUAACUGCGAGACUGACAAGUCGAGCAGAUGCGAAAGCAGGACAUAGUGAUCCGGUGGUUCUGUAUGGAAGGGCCAUCGCUCAACGGAUAAAAGGUACUCUGGGGAUAACAGGCUGAUACCGCCCAAGAGUUCAUAUCGACGGCGGUGUUUGGCACCUCGAUGUCGGCUCAUCUCAUCCUGGGGCUGUAGCCGGUCCCAAGGGUAUGGCUGUUCGCCAUUUAAAGAGGUACGUGAGCUGGGUUUAAAACGUCGUGAGACAGUUUGGUCCCUAUCUUCCGUGGGCGCUGCAGAUUUGAGGAAGCCUGCUCCUAGUACGAGAGGACCGGAGUGGACACACCUCUGGUGUAUCGGUUGUCACGCCAGUGGCAUUGCCGAGUAGCUAAGUGUGGAAGAGAUAACCGCUGAAAGCAUCUAAGCGGGAAACUCGUUUCAAGAUGAGAUCUGCCGGGGCCUUGAGCCCCCUAAAGAGUCGUUCAAGACCAGGACGUUGAUAGGUCAGGUGUGGAAAC